AGAGAGAGAGAGAGAGAGAGAGAGAGAGAGAAUGGUGACAAAGGUAAUGACGUCAUUGGUUGGAGAGGUUGCAGAGACACACAUGGACCUCGCUGGGCCUCUGUGUCUCAGGAGACUGGGGGCCGAAGAGGCCACUGAUCCGAUCAAGGAACAGAUGGGCCGUUUGGGCAACAGAGCCUAACCUAGUACAGCUCACCGCUCCUGAGGGAGAUCACCCUGUGGUGUAGCAUGGCUCUCACCCACACAGAUCUACAGGCAGGAGUCAGACUCAUCCACACAGAUUUACAGGCAGGAGUCAGACUCACCCACACAGCUCUAGAGGCAGGAGCCUGACUCGCCCACACAGCUCUAGAGGCAGGAGUCAGAGUCACCCACACAGCUCGAGAGGCAGGACUGAGACUCACCCACACAGCUCUAGAGGCAGGAGUCAGUCUCACCCACACAGCUGUAAAGGCAGGAGUCAGACUCACCCACACAGCUCGAGAGGCAGGAGUCGGACUCACCCACAAAGCUCGAGCUAUUCCAGCCUUCUCUGGGGGCUGGAAUACUGAGACUCCCCUAAACUCUUUGAUGCAGGUUAAGACUCAAAUUCACCCUGUCAAAUCAAAUACAAUCAAGCUUUACAUGCAUAAAAAACAAUACAAAUAAAAACUGAAAUAUUUACUACACAACAAACAUUAGAGGAUAAAAAACAAAAGAAUAACAAUAAAAACUUAAAUAUUAAGAAGCACGCUAAGGAAUAGCAGAGCAAAAAAGGUGUGUUUUAAGAUCCCUUUUAAAUAUGUCCACAGUUUCGGCCCCCCUUCAUGGUGAAUGUACACUAGAUGCAGGAAAUUUCCACGUGCCAGUUAGGCUGCCCAUUGUGACUUGCUUGUUGGUGUGCGCGUGCUGGCAGCAUAUGGCAGCCUGUUCGAUUGUUCGUCAAGAAUUCAGCAUAGCAAGUUUGUAUGAAGGUCUGGUUAUUAAAUGGGUACAUAGUUCAAUAGUAAUAUCCUCUAAAACGUUCUGGUGACAAACACACUUUGCUGCCCUGUUUCCAGUUGUCCUCAUGGCUGGGUGAACCUAUUCAAGUAAGUAGAUACAUUUUGAAAAUGUAAAAAAACCUAUGUAUUAUUAGCUAACUCAAAUGAGCUGCUAAAUGAGCUAGCUAGUUGGCCAGCCAGCUAUCUAGCCAACUUCACAUACUGUAUAGAUAGCUAGCUAAGUGAAUGAAAUAUCACCAUCUACCUAACUUCAUAUUAGCUAGCUAUCUUGGUGUAUUUAUCACUGUAAAAAACGAACUCCAAAUGCAUUUGUAGGUAGCUAGCUAACAGCCAUGGAGGAGGGUGAAAGGAUAGCAGCCCCAACUGUCAGUGAGAGAGUAGGCUAUUCUGGAUAGGGCAGGUACUUUUGUGUAGUUCCUGUCCCUAGAAGUGAGGAUGGAGGUAAUAGUAACAUAAUAUUCAGUGCGGUGUAAUUUGACUACAAUGAAGCCUGUUCCUUGAGGUUUUCUGUCCUCAGAUAAAGUGAGCUCUGAAAGCCUGUCUACAUAUGAAGAGAUCCCAAUGAAGAGCAGUGGUUCUCAGUCCUGGUCCUGGGGACUUAAAGAGAUACCUUGUAACUGGAGAUUCCUUCAAAGCGAUUGCCUACAAUUAACAUGUAGAGCACUGCAAGGUUGGGUGACCAGGGCCAUCUGGGACUGCCUCCUGGAAGAAUUCAGGUGUGUGUGUGAAGGCUACCUGUGUCCUGCACAACUUCAUGAGGAUGGACACGAGGACCAGGAGUGGAUCUGCAGCUCGCCGCCACAAGGAGAAGUCUGCUGCUCUGCAAGAUGUUUCAAGGAUGGGGUCCAACAACGCAGCAAGAGAGGCAAUACGUGUGCUGGAGAUCUUCACCUCCUACUACUUCGAAGAGGGCGCUGUUCCCUGGCAACACCAUAGACUACACUAUGCACAACCAAAGGCUAUUUUAAGAGCCAUUCACAUUGCAAUAAGAGUAUUGUUCCAUUUACUUAGCUAUGUCAACUGCAGUUAUUCAAUUCCCAGUUUCUCUCCCUUUUAUUUCUGCUUCUCGGGUAAGGGUGUGAUGUCUGUAAAAAACGGGCUAUUUUAAAUCACCCAUAUUGAAAAAAUGUGGAACAAUUAGACACCCUAUAACCCACACCUACACACUCAUGUAUCAAUCUUGAUUGAUUGAUUGUGUUGUGCAGUAAGCAGGCUCAGGUGUAUAACUGGCUCCUUCCACCUUAGGCACGAGGGCCAACCAUGGAGAAUAGUUAUAUCAGCAGUGUCGGUGAACCCCUCCCGCAUCUGAACUGGCUACAUAGAGGCCACAGGAUGAUCAGAGUUCCAUCAUUGCCACCUCACCCACUUUUAAGAUAACCUUCGGGCCGACUAGAGACACUAUUAUGUAAUUGUGAUGAACUGAGAGAAUAUUUGGGUUGCACUGUGAUUCAUUAAUCAUAUGGUGCCUUCCCUGCUCCUAUAUUCUUACCUCUUUCCCUUUGUCUUUUACACCUCUCUCGCCACCUCCUCUUUCUUCCACUGUUUUUACAAUGCACAACAUAUGUGCAUUGAAGUACAGAUUGAACUUGUAUUUAUAAUGUUACAAUUAUAGUAUUUAUAAUGCUUGUAUUUUAUAACACUUGGAUAAUGAACUGCUUUCAAUAAAGUGUUUCAC